rnacentral:rRNA from 1 species
UACGCCGGGGGCUCGCUUUUCUCUUCUUCCCUUUUCUUCAAUCUCACUUAUUCUUCUUGCUAAGUCAGGAGUGAAAUCCUGGAGCUCAACUCCAGAACUGCCUUUGAUACUGGCGAGCUUCGAGUCCGGGAGAGGUGAGUGGAACUGCGAGUGUAGAGGUGAAAUUCGUAGAUAUUCGCAAGAACACCAGUGGCGAAGGCGGCUCACUGGCCCGGUACUGACGCUGAGGUGCGAAAGCGUGGGGAGCAAACAGG